UUGUCUUAGAGCAAGGCAUCCUGCCACUCCGUCUCCAUUUGAAGGGAUGCCGCAUCAGCUAAGGAGGUUAUGGUGUUGAUGAUGCAGUGCAGCAGAUCCAGAGAGUGUAAUCCACAGAACGAAUUCUGUACUGUGCCAGAGCCUCCGUUUGGACUCGCUGACAGGCUGAAUGCCAGCAGCAGUAUCGAGAGUGCAACUUAACAGAAGACAUUGUGACACUCACAGCACUGGUGGGAUUGAUGCGAGGCCUCUCCAU